GUAAUGGUUGGCUCUAAAUUACAUCAGUUGCAAACAGUGCAUACGACCAAGGAAAUAUACUCAGCAAGUACUUAAGAUUACACAAAAAAUGGAGCAACAUAAAGGAAGUAUCCAACAAAAUGAAAAACCAAUUGCCUUCUUUGGUGAUCAGCAAGAUCAUGACCGUGAUUCAAAUGACAAGGCAAGUCAUUUGUCAUUUCAAACCCAAUGCAAACGACAACUUAGGCCUGGAUUUGUUCUUGCCCAACACUUUCAUUUGCUUUGCACGCUCUUCCUCCUCUUGUUGUUUUUUCCUCCGCAAAGCCUCUUCUUUCUGUCUCUGGAGCUCUUCCAGUUCUCUAUAACGCUGUUCUUCUUUCAUUUGCUGCUCCAUAGCUUCUCUUCUCUGAGCUUCUUCCACCUUUCGCCUCUUCUCUUCAAGCAUUCUUUCCAACUCUUCUUUCUCUUUUCGAGCUUGUUCCUCUUUUUGUUUCGACUCAAUAAGAGCAGAUUCCUUCUCUUUUUCAAGUUGAGCAGCAACUUCAUUCACAAGUUUCUUUCUACCAUCUUCUAAUCGCCUUCGAAUUUCAAUCAUGAUCUCCUCCUUG
rnacentral:misc_RNA from 1 species